CAGUAGCCGCGGGAAUACAGAGGGUGCGAGCGUUAAUCGGAUUUACUGGGCGUAAAGCGUGCGUAGGCGGCUUUUUAAGUCGGAUGUGAAAUCCCUGAGCUUAAUUUAGGAAUUGCAUUCGAUACUGGGAAGCUAGAGUAUGGGAGGGGAUGGUAGAAUUCCAGGUGUAGCGGUGAAAUGCGUAGAGAUCUGGAGGAAUACCGAUGGCGAAGGCAGCCAUCUGGCCUAAUACUGACGCUGAGGUACGAAAGCAUGGGGAGCAAACAGGAUUAGAUACCCCAGUAGUCCCUGUCUCUUAACA
rnacentral:rRNA from 1 species